CUGGAAGACAUGCGCUCGGGUGGUGAAGAUGGGCUGUUCUCUGCAAUAAGAGAGUGGGCGUAUAAUAGAAUUGCACAUAGAGAACACCCAAGAAAAUCAACUGAAAAAGAUAUCACCAAGGUGGCCUCAAGAAUUGAUAGGAUCCCAGCCACAAGUGAAGGCCUUACUCAGGGAAGUCACAACGGGUUGCUCGUCCAUACAGGAUCAAGGACAGGUUGGCCUGUUGGCCAGACGCCCAGCACAAACAGCUCAGCCCAGUGAGGGAGAGUCAUUAGGUAAGCCAUCAACCACCUCCCUGCAGAAUUCAGUCAUCAUUGUUGCAUGUGGAGUCCCUUCUCAUACAUAAUCAUACAUUACUAGUAUAAUAAUCCAAUUAUCCAACUCUCCCAACAAAGAGGCUUCACAGAUCAAACUGACCUCAGGUUUGAGCAUUAUUUACAAAAAGGUCAACCAGAAAUUAAUUGGAACGUCCAGUACCAGGAAGAAUCAAGUCAAUAAAUUAACACAAUAGAGUACUAUGUAACCCUUUUAAAAAAGAACAUUCUUAUGACUAUAUAAAUAUUGUUCCCUGCAGAGGCAAAAAAUGUGCCAGGAUUAUAGUUCUUUCUGUACAGUUCCAAUGUCAACAGCAGAGUGCUACUCACAGGAAAACAUUCCUAGUAUCAAGGUCAGAGAGAAGCUUCUCCUUUCUAGCACUCUCCCAGUUGUUCAAAAGCAGGCGGUAUCUUUCGUGCACUUCAUAUUUGAAACAUGACAUGCUUGUGAUAAUUUUUAAUUUUUGUGAUGUUUUCCUAUUGCCUUCUCUAUCGAGGAAAGAAACACAGCCCGUCUUCCCAUAACCCUAGUAUAUUCCAGCUUGUUCACUCUGUCCAUUGUCUGGAAUCUGCUCCAGUCUCUGUCCUCAAGAUAUUAUUCUUGGAGCCAGUAACUUCCACCUGUAAUUUGGAGUGAAUGCUUCUGAGGCCCAUUCAUAGCCAUCUGUCCAGAAGUUCUUUUCACCAGACUCCCAGGAGCCAUCAAUUCUUUUUGCCCACUUCCCCACAUCAUGACCUCCUUCAUAGUCUUCGCCAUUGUUUUGCUGUUGUAGAUCCUCAAGAUGAGCGGGAGGUCAACUUUAAGUCCUUGCACAUCAGGAAUGGCCUUUACUUUCCCCCUUAUACUUGAUUGGUUUUGGCUGGAUGUAUCCUAGGGCUGCUGUACCAAAUUCCCACAAACUUGGGGGCUUACAUGACAGGAAUUUAUUUUCUCACAGCUCUGGAGGGCAGAAAUCCGCAGUCAGUUGACUGGGCUGAAACCAAGGUGUCGCCAGGGCCAUGCUGCCUCCAGAGGCUCUAGGGUUGGAAGCUCUAAGGAAGCAUCCAUUGCCCCACCUUUCCCAGCUUCUAGAGCUGCGUUCCUUGGCUCAUGGCCUCCUCCUCCAUCUUCAAAGCCUGCAGCAAAGCAUCUUCAAAGCUCUCUGCAGAGAUCCUCACAUCCUCUUCUCUAUUCUGUGUGUAGUAAAAUCUCCCUCUGCUACUCUCUUCAGAACACUUGUGAUUACACUGGGCCCUGGAUAAUGCAGGAUAACCUCCCCAUCUCAAAGUCCUUAACUUAUCAUAUCUGCAAAGACCCUUUAACAUAUACGGUAACGUAGGUUCAGAAAUGAGCAUCUGAUAUAUCUAUGGGAGACAUUUUUUAGCCUACCACUCUGGGGGUAAAACAAUCUUUUUUUUUUUUUUUUUUAAGACACAAAGUCUUACUAUGUUGCCCAGGCUAGAUUCAAAUUCUUGGGCUCAAGCAAUCCUCUUACUUCAGCCUCCCUAGGAGCUGCGACUACCACAGCACUCAGCUUAAAACAAUUGUUUUAAAUGGCUUAAAAAAAAUGAUUUUCAGACGGGCAUGGUGGCU
rnacentral:lncRNA from 1 species